UACGUAGGGUGCAAGCGUUGUCCGGAAUUAUUGGGCGUAAAGAGCUCGUAGGCGGUUUGUCGCGUCUGCUGUGAAAACCCGAGGCUCAACCUCGGGCCUGCAGUGGGUACGGGCAGACUAGAGUGCGGUAGGGGAGAUUGGAAUUCCUGGUGUAGCGGUGGAAUGCGCAGAUAUCAGGAGGAACACCGAUGGCGAAGGCAGAUCUCUGGACCGUAACUGACGCUGAGGAGCGAAAGCAUGGGGAGCGAACAGG
rnacentral:rRNA from 1 species